rnacentral:rRNA from 1 species
UACGUAGGGGGCAAGCGUUGUCCGGAAUUAUUGGGCGUAAAGAGCGUGUAGGCGGUCCGUUAAGUCAGCUGUGAAAGUCAAGGGCUCAACCCUUGAAUGCCGGUUGAUACUGUCGAGCUAGAGUCCGGAAGAGGCGAGUGGAAUUCCUGGUGUAGCGGUGGAAUGCGCAGAUAUCAGGAGGAACACCUAUAGCGAAGGCAGCUUGCUGGGACGUUACUGACACUAAGGCGCGAAAGCGUGGGGAGCAAAAGGG